UGCAGCGUUGCUGACGGUGAUGCCGUUGCCGGUGAGGUCGGCGAUGUUGCCGCCGGUGACGACGCUGUUCCAGUCAUCUGCCGCAGC
rnacentral:tRNA from 1 species